CGGACGGGUGAGUAACGCGUAAAGAACUUGCCCUUUAGACUGGGAUAACAAGAGGGAAACUUCUGAUAAUACUGGAUAAGUUAGUAUAUCGCAUGAUAUGCAAAUGAAAGCUACGGCACUAAAGGAGAGCUUUGCGUCCUAUUAGCUAGUUGGUAAGGUAAGAGCUUACCAAGGCGAUGAUAGGUAGCCGGCCUGAGAGGGUGGACGGCCACAAGGGGACUGAGAUACGGCCCUUACUCCUACGGGAGGCAGCAGGU
rnacentral:rRNA from 1 species